rnacentral:rRNA from 1 species
UGGUGGCGACCGGCGCACGGGUGCGUAACGCGUAUGCAACCUACCUUUAACAGGGGGAUAACACUGAGAAAUUGGUACUAAUACCCCAUAAUAUCAUAGAAGGCAUCUUUUAUGGUUGAAAAUUCCGAUGGUUAGAGAUGGGCAUGCGUUGUAUUAGCUAGUUGGUGGGGUAACGGCUCACCAAGGCGACGAUACAUAGGGGGACUGAGAGGUUAACCCCCCACACUGGUACUGAGACACGGACCAG